rnacentral:rRNA from 1 species
GACGAACCGUGCGAACGUUGUUCGGAAUCACUGGGCUUAAAGGGCGCGUAGGCGGGCCAUAAAGUCAGGGGUGAAAUCCUCCAGCUUAACUGGAGAACUGCCUUUGAUACUGAUGGUCUCGAGUAAGGUAGGGGCAUGCGGAACUGAUGGUGGAGCGGUGAAAUGUGUUGAUAUCAUCAGGAACUCCAGUGGCGAAGGCGGCUACCUGGCCCACUCUUGACGCUGAGGCGCGAAAGCUAGGGGAGCAAACGGG